GACGAACGCUGGCGGCGUGCUUAACACAUGCAAGUCGAACGGAAAGGCCCUGCUUUUGUGGGGUGCUCGAGUGGCGAACGGGUGAGUAACACGUGAGUAACCUGCCCUUGACUUUGGGAUAACUUCAGGAAACUGGGGCUAAUACCGGAUAGGAGCUCCUGCUGCAUGGUGGGGGUUGGAAAGUUUCGGCGGUUGGGGAUGGACUCGCGGCUUAUCAGCUUGUUGGUGGGGUAGUGGCUUACCAAGGCUUUGACGGGUAGCCGGCCUGAGAGGGUGACCGGCCACAUUGGGACUGAGAUACGGCCCAGACUCCUACGGGAGGCAGCAGUGGGGAAUACUGUACAAUGGGCGGAAGCCUGAUGCAGCAACGCCGCGCGCGGGAUGACGGCCUUCGGGUUGUAAACCGCUUUCGCCUGUGACGAAGCGUGAGUGACGGUAAUGGGUAAAGAAGCACCGGCUAACUACGUG
rnacentral:rRNA from 1 species